rnacentral:misc_RNA from 1 species
ACCCCCUCAAGCUUUGCUUGGUGUUGGGCGUCUGUCCCGCCUCUGCGCGCGGACUCGCCCCAAAGGCAUUGGCAGCGGUCGUGCCAGCUUCUCGCGCAGCAUACGCGCUACGGAGGCGAGUCGACCCGCAUCCACAAGCACUUUUUACCA